rnacentral:rRNA from 1 species
UGUUUCGGCAAGGGGGUCAUCCCGACUUACCAACCCGAUGCAAACUGCGAAUACCGGAGAAUGUUAUCACGGGAGACACACGGCGGGUGCUAACGUCCGUCGUGAAGAGGGAAACAACCCAGACCGCCAGCUAAGGUCCCAAAGUCAUGGUUAAGUGGGAAACGAUGUGGGAAGGCCCAGACAGCCAGGAUGUUGGCUUAGAAGCAGCCAUCAUUUAAAGAAAGCGUAAUAGCUCACUGGUCGAGUCGGCCUGCGCGGAAGAUGUAACGGGGCUAAACCAUGCACCGAAGCUGCGGCAGCGACGCUGAUGCGUUGUUGGGUAGGGGAGCGUUCUGUAAGCCUGUGAAGGUGUGCUGUGAGGCAUGCUGGAGGUAUCAGAAGUGCGAAUGCUGACAUAAGUAACGAUAAAGCGGGUGAAAAGCCCGCUCGCCGGAAGACCAAGGGUUCCUGUCCAACGUUAAUCGGGGCAGGGUGAGUCGACCCCUAAGGCGAGGCCGAAAGGCGUAGUCGAUGGGAAACAGGUUAAUAUUCCUGUACUUGGUGUUACUGCGAAGGGGGGACGGAGAAGGCUAUGUUGGCCGGGCGACGGUUGUCCCGGUUUAAGCGUGUAGGCUGGUUUUCCAGGCAAAUCCGGAAAAUCAAGGCUGAGGCGUGAUGACGAGGCACUACGGUGCUGAAGCAACAAAUGCCCUGCUUCCAGGAAAAGCCUCUAAGCAUCAGGUAACAUCAAAUCGUACCCCAAACCGACACAGGUGGUCAGGUAGAGAAUACCAAGGCGCUUGAGAGAACUCGGGUGAAGGAACUAGGCAAAAUGGUGCCGUAACUUCGGGAGAAGGCACGCUGAUAUGUAGGUGAAGUCCCUCGCGGAUGGAGCUGAAAUCAGUCGAAGAUACCAGCUGGCUGCAACUGUUUAUUAAAAACACAGCACUGUGCAAACACGAAAGUGGACGUAUACGGUGUGACGCCUGCCCGGUGCCGGAAGGUUAAUUGAUGGGGUCAGCGCAAGCGAAGCUCUUGAUCGAAGCCCCGGUAAACGGCGGCCGUAACUAUAACGGUCCUAAGGUAGCGAAAUUCCUUGUCGGGUAAGUUCCGACCUGCACGAAUGGCGUAAUGAUGGCCAGGCUGUCUCCACCCGAGACUCAGUGAAAUUGAACUCGCUGUGAAGAUGCAGUGUACCCGCGGCAAGACGGAAAGACCCCGUGAACCUUUACUAUAGCUUGACACUGAACAUUGAGCCUUGAUGUGUAGGAUAGGUGGGAGGCUUAGAAGUGUGGACGCCAGUCUGCAUGGAGCCGACCUUG